UAGGGAAUAUUGGUAAUGGGCGUAAGCCUGAACCAGCAACGCCGCGUGUGCGAUGAAGGCCUUCGGGUUGUAAAGCACUUUUGACCGGGACGAGGAAGGACGGUACCGGUGAAUAAGCCUCGGCUAACUACGUGCCAGCAGCCGCGGUAAAACGUAGGAGGCGAGCGUUAUCCGGAUUUACUGGGUGUAAAGCGCGUGCAGGCGGUUAGCUAAGUUGGGUGUGAAAGCUCCUGGCUCAACUGGGAGAGGUCGCGCAAGACUGGCUGACUCGAGGAGGGUAGGGGAAAGUGGAAUUCCGGGUGUAGUGGUGAAAUGCGUAGAUAUCCGGAGGAACACCAGUGGCGAAGGCGGCCUUCUGGACCAUCACUGACGCUCAGACGCGAAAGCUAGGGUAGC
rnacentral:rRNA from 1 species